ensembl:lncRNA
CUGGGUUUCCUGCGCGCCUCAAGUCUCCUUUUUAUUUCACCUCGGGGAAAAUGGAGGCGGGGGUGUGAAAGAAAGAGAGGAAGAAAGAAAGAACAAGGGGGGUGGGGUGGGGGGGGACGACAGAAGGCAGGCCACAUCCCAGCAGCCCUCCUGCCCCCCGCGUCUCCAUCGCCAGCCCCAAGCCAGAACAGAUUUGAGUGGAGCUGCCCUGGCUCUAUCAUCUGCGGCGUGCAGAGUCAUCACGGCCGCGGUGCAUAGCUGAGAGCCGGAAAGCAAACAGCUGCUGUAGCCUGAUUUGAGUUAAAAUAGUGUCAGUGUUUAGUCUGGCGCACUGCUUCAGGAGAGAUUGGCAGCUGGGUCAAACAAAGUCAUUCCAUUGGCUCCCUUCCCAGCCAGCUUCUGCUAGUAUUUAGGUACUAGUGCAGCCUAGGCCCCUUUUCUCAGGGAUAGCCUAACAUCUGACCGCACCCUCCUUGCUGUUUAAAAAAUGCCUUUUCACUCUUUAAGAUAAAUCCACUAUUAGACAAUCUGCCACUAAUAGUGCAGUAAGGCUGUUUUUCUCCCGAAAGCCGACGCAUCCCGCUCCCGCCGCAGUGCAGAAAGCAGGCUGUUACAGUGCCGGAUUCAUAAAAGGGGCCUUUAUGGCUGGUGAAAGAAUAUCUGUGUGCUUAGGCCGGAAACUUUUUGAUCCAGUGCAAAGCCAGACGACACCUAGAGCAAGAGAAGCCAACUUUAGGAGCAUGCUCAUACCCUCAGUGGAGGAGUGGGAAUUUAUCAUCUGUACAUCCUCCUGCGGGAAGAGGAGAGUAAACCAGCACCGUCCCUCAUGGACUUGGCAAGUCUGGCCAGGGGGCCAGGGCAAUGAACCCAACAUUGCAUUUAUUUGGACCUGGCAUGCUCAGAAGAGUAGUAGUAUGUGGUGCACAGGUAAAUCAUACAUGCCAGGGCCCCAAGAAAAUCCAUUCCCUGCCUCCCACUGAUGCGUAGCUGUCUUGGGUUGGGGCACAAGUGUCCAGUCUUGAAGAGAGCUGUGUGAAACCUCAGUGGAGACCACCCUCUUCUCUGAAACUGAAUUUUCUCUGGCCCUGCUGCUUCACAGCCCUGCUUCUGCCCAGCCCUGAUGAUUUGGGCACCACCUUAACACCAACCCUGUCCUGUCCUGCCCCGUCCCGGCUGGGCCUGGGGCCUGCAGCAGUGCUUGGGGAUGGCCGGGCUGUGGCCAGCCCUGGUCACUAUCCCCAGCCCAGCCCAGGUUGCUUCGCUGGAGCUGCAGGAUGAGGCUGGUUGAGGAGGGAGGCACUGCACUGCCCUAGUGGCCCUGGGCCUUGACCCUGCAGCCCCACAGCCCCAGUGGAGUAGGGUAGGGUGUGCAGAAGAUGGUUCUUUUUUGCAGUCCAGAGUGACACUUGGGCCACGCUGGAGGCAACACAAGGUUUCUCUUAGAUCAGUCUUUUGGUCCUAGCUCUGAGUUUUCUCUUCUUUUCCUUGGCUAUAUUGAAGCAGUUUUGUAAAUAAUCGAGUCUGAGAAUGCUAACGCUAAUUCAAAAAGAAGUAAGCUCUAAUGCUAGAAUGUCUUUGUAGAUACAGCAACAUUGAGUAUACCCUAGAGCUUCAGUCUCCACAAAUACAUUGGGUAAUGGUCUUUUUUUUUUUUUUUUUUGUAUUUAAGCUUUUCUGUUGGUAGUCUGAGCUUUUGACUUUGCAGAAAACAAUCCACCAUAAGUUUUUUUUCUCCACUGCUGUGGGAGGACACCACAGCAUCCUGAUGCUGUGAAUCCUUACCUUCCACAACCCCCACAGUCUGCAUCAUUCAUCUCCUCCUCCACCUGUCAAGGUUUCCUUGCAUUCUUGGCAAUGACUACAGAGGAAAUUAAAGGCUUUAUUUCCAGCCUAGCUUCAGAUGUCACAAAUAUGGAGGCCAGUUUCUGAAAAAUCCAGUUCUAAAAUCUCCAGUGUUUAUUGUUUUCUGUGCUUACCAGCCAAGAUCUUCUCCCUGAUGUGGCAAAAUACUGCCAUCUGUAAGAUACGUCAAGCUAUAUGUUAAUGUGUUGGUACUUGCAAAUGCCAUAAGCUAAUUCAUGGGCUUGCUGUGGUUUAAGAUGUGGUUUAUGAUGUGGUGGUUUAAGAUAUGGUGUGGUUUAAGAUAUGGUUUAAGACUUCAUGGCACAUAGUGGCUUGUUUUUAAUGUUGUUUUUUUUUGUUUGUUUGUUUGUUUGUUUUUUUUGUCUUUAAUUUAGUCUGACCCAGUUUAAGUGUUCCAGCUUGGGACAGGUCCACAAGUUUGGGUAAUUUCAUUUAGACAUACUCUUACACAUAAUUGGACUUUGUGGCUCUAAUCUGUGCAUGGAAACAAGUGAUAAUAUAUAUUGGUAGAAUUAACUUGCCUGUAUUGUUGUAACAUUACAGGAUGUCCUCAGUAGUGUAGCAGUAGUGCUCCUAUACCUUCUUGUAUAGAAUAUUCAUUGUUAAAAGAUGUGCAGAAGUUAAUUGAUCUCAAAACUUACUUUUACUUGAUCAUUACCAAGACAUUUAGCUAUUAAUACACAGUUUCAUGAUGCAUUAAAUGAGUUAGGAACACAAUUAGCCAAUUCUUCCCAUUACCGUGACUUAAAUUUCAUCUGCUUUUUUGGCAUUCUUGAUUUUGUUUUAGUAGUUUAUAAAUGGUAAAGGAAAAAAAGAUAACAGAACUUCAGAUUUCCACCUGUGCAUAUCUGUACUUUGCCAUAGGGACAUGAUUAAACAGGUAGUAUAGGUACAGUCUAAGUUGUUUAAAUGGACUUCACAUCAUCAGGUGUUCUUUUUGUCUUCCCUUGAGAAACUUAGUGUAAAGAAUAUAGACAGUAGACUUGGCUCAGGUUGACUUGAUCAAUUCAUGGUGUGUGGACAGUACCCAGUUUGAAGCAGAUAGCCUGCUUAAUAAACCUCCUGCUAUUUAGAGAGAAUAUUUGUUU